GGCCCAAAUUUGAAGUAGAUUAGAUUAGUAGGAUCAGCUGAUACUAGUGUCCUGCUCUGCUUCAGAAUUGGGCCC
rnacentral:pre_miRNA from 1 species